GCUGCUUGGGAUUUGGAUUCUCUCUCUCUCUGCCCCUCCCCUGCUCAUGCUCUCGCGCGCGCGCUCUCUCUCUCUCUCUCUCUCUCUCUCUCAAAAAUAAACAAACAAAGGAAUGAAUGAACAAGCAGAAAGAACAUGGAAUCCCCUGGCGCGGGGACUACCAUUUCCUCCCUUUGGACCCCAGACCCAAUUUUCUAACCUGUCAAAGCAGAGAUGCCAUUUGCUGUGCUGCCCCCAGGAGUAUGUGGAACAGAGGUGUUGCAUGAGAAAGAGCACUCUGCACAGCUUGGGCUGUGACCAGCUCUAGAAGCCAGCACCGCCCCCUUGAGGACUAAACAGGGGCACAACUGUAUGGCCCUGGAAAGGCCCUCACCCUGCACCAGAGGUGAGUUCUGGCCCAAUCUAGCUGAGUUCCUCCUGCUUUCCCAUACAAAGGAGGAGCAGGGUGACAGUGACCUGGAGGCCACCCUGGGCCUGUCCCUUCCCCACCUUCCACCCAAUAACUAAAUCUAAUUUGGUUCUGU